CGUUGUCUUGAAAUUCUUCACCUUGAGUUGGGAUGAGCUUAACUGUAUAUGAUGAAAAGGUUCAAGUUUGGGGUUGUAUGGGGGAAAAUUGAGAAAGCAAAUGAAAAACAUUGAGCUCGAAUGUUGAAAAAGAAAAAUUCAUGAGAAAAAGAAAAGAAAAGAAGGAAAGCAUGAAGAUGAGCUCAAUGAAAAAGAAAAGAAAAGGGAAGAAGUUGGGAAUAAGUGAGAUUGGUGAGAAAGAGAGUUGUGCUUAAUUGUUAAAUAUUAUGAAAGCUCUCUUAACUCAAGGAUUUUGUUUUCCAGAAAAACCAAUUUUUCUUGUUAGCCCAACCUCAUUACA
rnacentral:lncRNA from 1 species